rnacentral:rRNA from 1 species
ACGAACGCUGGCGGCGUGCUUACCCCAGCACGGUGAACGGGAAGGCCCCUGCUUUUGGGGGGUGCCGGGUGGGCAACCGGGUGGGAAACCCGUAGUUAACCUCCCCUUGACUUUGGGUUAACUCCGGGAAACGGGGCUAAUUCCCGGAAGGAACCCCCUCCGGCUGGGGGGGGGUGGGAAGGUUCGGCGGUUGGGGAUGGACUCGCGGCUUAUCAGCUUGUUGGUGGGGUAGUGGCUUACCAAGGCUUUGACGGGUAGCCGGCCUGAGAGGGUGACCGGCCACAUUGGGACUGAGAUACGGCCCAGACUCCUACGGGAGGCAGCAGUGGGGAAUAUUGCACAAUGGGCGGAAGCCUGAUGCAGCAACGCCGCGUGCGGGAUGACGGCCUUCGGGUUGUAAACCGCUUUCGCCUGUGACGAAGCGUGAGUGACGGUAAUGGGUAAAGAAGCACCGGCUAACUACGUG